rnacentral:rRNA from 1 species
GCUCAGACGAAACGCUGGCGGCGUGCCUAACACAUGCAAGUCGGACGAGAAGUACGUAGCAAUACGUAUUGUAAAGUGGCGCACGGGUGAGUAACACGUGGGUAAUCUGCCCUCGAGUUUGGGAUAACCCCGCGAAAGCGGGGCUAAUACCGGAUAAGACCACGGAGACCAAAGUCUCUGAGGUAAAAGGUGGCCUCUAUUUAUAAGCUACCACUUGAGGAUGAGCCCGCGGCCCAUUAGCUAGUUGGCAGGGUAACGGCCUACCAAGGCAAUGAUGGGUAGCUGGUCUGAGAGGACGAUCAGCCACACUGGAACUGAGACACGGUCCAGACUCCUACGGGAGGCAGCAGUGGGGAAUAUUGCGCAAUGGGCGAAAGCCUGACGCAGCAACGCCGCGUGGGGGAUGAAGGUUCUCGGAUUGUAAACCCCUUUCGAUCGGAACGAAUCCCCUCCUGGUAAAUAAUCAGGAGGAUCGACGGUACCGAGAGAAGAAGCCACGGCUAACUCUGUGCCAGCAGCCGCGGUAAGACAGAGGUGGCGAGCGUUGUUCGGAUUUAUUGGGCGUAAAGCGAACGCAGGUGGUUUGGUAAGUCAGGGGUGAAAGACCACAGCUUAACUGUGGCAUUGCCUUUGAUACUGCCUUUCUUGAGUAGAGUAGGGGGAAGCGGAAUUCCGAGUGUAGAGGUGAAAUUCGUAGAUAUUCGGAGGAACACCGGUGGCGAGGGCGGCUUCCUGGACUCUAACUGACACUCAUGUUCGAAAGCGUGGGGAGCAAACAGGAUUAGAUACCCUGGUAGUCCACGCCCUAAACGAUGGGCACUAGGUGUGGGAGGUAUCGACCCCUUCCGUGCCGCAGCUAACGCAUUAAGUGCCCCGCCUGGGGAGUACGGCCGCAAGGGUGAAACUCAAA